rnacentral:rRNA from 1 species
GACGAACGCUGGCGGCGUGCUUAACACACGCAAGUCGAACGGUGAAGGGAUCAGCUUGCUGGUUCUGGAUGAGUGGCGAACGAGUGAGUAACACGUGAGUAACCUGCCCCCUUCUUCUGGAUAACCGCAUGAAAGUGUGGCUAAUACGGGAUAUUCUGCGCCUGCUGCAUGGUGGGUGUGGGAAAGAUAUUGUUUCGGUGGGGGAUGGGCUCGCGGCCUCUCAGCUUGUUGGUGGGGUGAUGGCCUACCAAGGCGGUGACGGGUAGCCGGCCUGAGAGGGGGGACGGUCACACUGGGACUGCGACACGGCCCAGACUCCUACGGGAGGCAGCAGUGGGGAAUAUUGCACAAUGGGCGCAAGCCUGAUGCAGCGACGCCGCGUGAGGGAUGGAGGCCUUCGGGUUGUGAACCUCUUUCGCUAGUGAAGCAGGCCUGUCCCUUGUGGGUGGGUUGACGGUAGCUGGAUAAGAAGCGCCGGCUAACUACGUG